rnacentral:rRNA from 1 species
AUACGGAGGAUGCGAGCGUUAUCCGGAUUUAUUGGGUUUAAAGGGAGCGUAGGCGGGAGCUUAAGUCAGCGGUUAAAUGGUGCGGCUCAACCGUGCCCUGCCGUUGAAACUGGGUUUCUUGAGAGUGCAAGAGGCGGAUGGAAUUCAUGGUGUAGCGGUGAAAUGCUUAGAUAUCAUGAAGAACUCCGAUUGCGAAGGCAGUCCGCUGGGGCACGUCUGACGCUGAUGCUCGAAGGUGCGGGAAUCAAACAGGAUUAGAUACCCUGGUAGUCCGCACGGUAAACGAUGAUUGCCCGCUGUCGGCGGCAGACAGUCGGCGGCCAAGCGAAAGCGAUAAGUAAUCCACCUGGGGAGUACGCCGGCAACGGUGAAACUCAAAUGAAUUGACGGGG